rnacentral:tRNA from 1 species
AGAAUUUUAAGUUAAGUUGAAACUAAAAGCCUUCAAAGCUUUAAAUAAGAAUAGUCUUAAAUUCUA